UACGUAGGGUGCGAGCGUUGUCCGGAAUUAUUGGGCGUAAAGGGCUCGUAGGCGGUUUGUCGCGUCGGGAGUGAAAACCCAGGGCUUAACUCUGGGCUUGCUUUCGAUACGGGCAGACUAGAGGUAUGCAGGGGAGAACGGAAUUCCUGGUGUAGCGGUGAAAUGCGCAGAUAUCAGGAGGAACACCGGUGGCGAAGGCGGGUCUCGUGGGCCGAAAUUGACGCUGAGGAGCGAAAGCGUGGGAGCA
rnacentral:rRNA from 1 species